CCAAUUUUCCCUCCCCAUUUUCCCCCAAUUUUCCCAAUUUCCCCCAAUUUCCCCCCUCAUUUUUCCCCAAUUUUCCCCGAUUUUACCCCAAUUUUUCCCAAUUUGACUCCAAUUUUCCUAAUUUUUCCCAAUUUUUAUCCAUUUUUCCCCAUUUUCCCCUCAUUUUUCCCCAAUUUUCCCCAAAUUUUCCCCAAUUUUUCCCAAUUUUACUCCAAUUUUCCUCAUUUUUCCCAAUUUUUUUCAAUAUUUUUCCCAAUUUCCCCCAAUUUUGCCCCAAUUUUUCCCCAUUUUUCCCCAUUUUCCCCAUUUUUCCCCAUUUUCCCCAUUUUUCCCCCAAUUUUUCCCCAUUUUUUCCCUAUUUUCCCCCAUUUUUCCCCAUUUUUUCCCAUUUUUCCCCAUUUUUUCCCAAUUUUCCCAAUUUUUCCCCAUUUUUCCCAAAUUUUCCCCAUUUUCCCCAAUUUUUCCCAAAUUUUCCCCAAAUUUUCCCAAUUUUCCCCAUUUUUCCCAUUUUUUCCCAAUUUUUCCCCCUUUUCCUUCCUUUUCAUCCCAAUUUUCCCUUCCCAUUUUUCCCUUUUUUUUCCCAUUUUUCCCCAAUUUUUCCCCAUUUUUCCCCAAUUUCCCCCAUUUUUUCCCCAUUUUCCCCAAUUUUCCCAAUUUCCCCCAAUUUUCCCCCAUUUUUUUUCACCAUUUCCAUUUUUCCCAUUUUUUCCAGUUUCCCUCCCGUGGGCGACGCCUUCAGCCCCAGAUCUCCCUCCCCCCGCCCCCAACAUCUCGGUGACGCCCCUCAAACCCGAGUUCCUGAUCGGCGACACCGUGUCCAUCACCUGCGCCGCGCCGGCGCCGGGCGGGCGGAUCCGAGGUUUCCGUUUCUCGGGGACGUCCGGCUGGGUGACGGACGUCAGGAGCUCCAGGAGGAGCUUCAGCCACGCCUUCAACGUCACCGGCAGCAGGGACGGUGGCUUCCACACCUGCUCCUACACCGUUCUCCGGCCGGGACGCGGCGACGUCCGCUCGCCGGCCAGCCGGGCCGUGGUCAUCAACGUCCGAGGUUGGCGGGGGUUGAGAAAUAAAAGUGAUCGAAAUUUGGGGUUUUGGUAUCA
rnacentral:lncRNA from 1 species